CAGGGAUUGCCUCAGUAACGGCGAGUGAAGCGGCAUAAGCUCAAAUUUGAAAUCUGGGUCUUUCAGACUCCGAGUUGUAAUUUGUAGAAGAUGUUUCGGGUGUGGUUCCGGUCUAAGUUCCUUGGAACAGGACGUCAUAGAGGGUGAGAAUCCCGUAUGUGACUGGAUACCUAUGCCUAUGUGAAACUCUUUCGACGAGUCGAGUUGUUUGGGAAUGCAGCUCAAAAUUGGUGGUAUAUUUCAUCUAAAGCUAAAUAUUGGCCAGAGACCGAUAGCGCACAAGUAGAGUGAUCGAAAGAUGAAAAGCACUUUGGAAAGAGAGUUAAACAGUACGUGAAAUUGUUGAAAGGGAAGCGCUUGCAAUCAGACUUGCGCCUGGUUAAUCAUCUGGGCUUCUGUCCGGUGCACUUGAUCAGGCUCAGGCCAGCAUCGGUUUGAGUGGUUGGAUAAAGGCUUAGGGAAUGUAGCUCUCUUCGGGGAGUGUUAUAGCCCUAGGUGCAAUGCAGCCUACUUGGACCGAGGACCGCGCUUCGGCUAGGAUGCUGGCGUAAUGGUUGUAAGCGACCCGUCUUGAAACACGGACCAAGGAGUCUAACAUCUAUGCGAGUGUUUGGGUGUUAAACCCAUACGCGUAAUGAAAGUGAACGGAGGUAAGAACCCUUAAGGGUGCAUUAUCGACCGAUCCUGAUGUCUUCGGAUGGAUUUGAGUAAGAGCAUAGCUGUUGGGACCCGAAAGAUGGUGAUCUAUACGUGAAUAGGGUGAAGCCAGAGGAAACUCUGGUGGAGGCUCGCAGCGGUUCUGACGUGCAAAUCGAUCGUCAAAUUUGCGUAUAGGGGCGAAAGACUAAU
rnacentral:rRNA from 1 species